rnacentral:misc_RNA from 1 species
UUUCUGUAGGUGAACCUGCGGAAGGAUCAUUAUUGUAUAACCGAGGUGCGAGGGCUGUCGCUGACCCGAAAGGUCGUGCACGCCCGAGUGCCCUCACACACAUCCAUCUCACCCCUAUGUGCACCACCGCGUGGGUCCCCCUUUGGCUUGUUCGGAGGGGGGCUUACGUUUUCACACAAACUUUGUAUGCAGUGUAGAAUGUAUUUUUUGUUCUUGCGAUCACGCAAUCAAUACAACUUUCAACAACGGAUCUCUUGGCUCUC